rnacentral:snRNA from 1 species
AUCGCUUCUCGGCUCUAUUGAGCUAAGAUCAAAAGUGUAGUAUCUGUUCUUAUCAGCUUAAUAUCUGAUACAAUCCCCAUAGGGGAUUCAGAAUAUUAAACUGUUUUUUGAACCAAGGCGGGUGUAUGGAGCUUGCUCCAACCCCGUCAGGGUCGGCCCGAUAUUGCAGUUUAUUCGGGACAGGCCUAAAUAAA